rnacentral:rRNA from 1 species
UACGUAGGGUGCGAGCGUUAAUCGGAAUUACUGGGCGUAAAGCGUGCGCAGGCGGUUCUCCAAGUCCGUUGGGAAAGCCCCGGGCUCAACCUGGGAAUGGCAUUUGGGACUGCAAGGCUUGAGUGCGGCAGAGGAGACUGGAAUUCCUGGUGUAGCAGUGAAAUGCGUAGAUAUCAGGAGGAAUACCGAUGGCGAAGGCAGGUCUCUGGGCUGACACUGACGCUCAUGCACGAAAGCGUGGGGAGCAAACAGG